GACGAACGCUGGCGGCGUGCUUAACACAUGCAAGUCGAGCGAUGAAACUCCUUCGGGAGUGGAUUAGCGGCGGACGGGUGAGUAACACGUGGGUAACCUGCCUCAUAGAGGGGAAUAGCCUUUCGAAAGGAAGAUUAAUACCGCAUAAGAUUGUAGCUUCGCAUGAAGCAGCAAUUAAAGGAGUAAUCCGCUAUGAGAUGGACCCGCGUCGCAUUAGCUAGUUGGUGAGGUAACGGCUCACCAAGGCGACGAUGCGUAGCCGACCUGAGAGGGUGAUCGGCCACAUUGGGACUGAGACACGGCCCAGGCUCCUACGGGAGGCAGCAGUGGGGAAUAUUGCACAAUGGGGGAAACCCUGAUGCAGCAACGCCGCGUGAGUGAUGACGGUCUUCGGAUUGUAAAGCUCUGUCUUCAGGGACGAUAAUGACGGUACCUGAGGAGGAAGCCACGGCUAACUACGUGCCAGCAGCCGCAGUAA
rnacentral:rRNA from 1 species